UCAAAUGCAGCAUUUCUAUCACCUCAACAAACACUAACUGUGUCACAGUGUGUUGCUAGCUAAAGCUCCACUUGCUGUAUUUCACAGGAAGAGAAAAGAAUGAGAGCUAACUUCACUCAGAGAUAUAGAAAGAAAGAGAAAGAAACCAGGCUGUAUUUAAAGACGUCUUGAAAACAAGUUUUAACAAAGUCCUGGAGAAGUGCCCAAUGCUGGAGGACCUCCUGCUUUACCCCUGGCUCAGAUAAACUCCUCUCUGACACAAACACACACGCAUACUGAAUUCACAUCUUGCCAUACAAAUGUGAUACAGUAACCAACUUUCUUUCUUUCAGAAAAAAGAAAAUUGGGAGAUUCAAAAUUUUCCUCACAGUAAUGUUUGCAUCAGUCUAUCAGAUGAAUCCCCUCCAAGUCCAAUAUUUACAUCAGUUACAGUGAUAAUGCUUGGUGUCUACUUUCAGCCACCGCAGUAGAAUGCCAGGAAUGAAUCUCAUUGAAAUUGUAGUUGCAUUUGCUAUUUAAUUUAAUUGUCAUGGAUGAUACACAGACAACCCAACAGCAAACAGAGGAAAACAAUGGGCUUAAAUACACAGAGGGAUAAAUGAGGGAAUAAGACACAGGAUGAGAGCACAGCUGCAGAAAUCACAAACAACAAGACCAUGGGGAAGGAAAACUGAAAACACUAACAUAGUCUAAGGAGCUUAGAAAGAAAACGUCUGGACUUCUUUAAGUUGCUUGAAGACGUUCAAGCAAAGUUUAAGUUCUUUUCAUCCGAGAAGGUGAAACAUCUUCAAGCAACUUCAAGUCCAGACGCUUUCUUUCCAAACUCCUUAGACUACGAUGACCUAGAUGACUGAGAACCUUCACAGACAUGAAAACACUAACAUAGCACACAAGACUAUCAAAGUAAAACAGCAAACAAGAGACUUUUACAAAGACACAGAGUUGACACAGAGACAUGACUGACUGGGGAGAAAUUGGGGAACAUGGAAAGAAGAAUGACUAGACAUGACACGUGGGACACAGGGGCAAGGCAAAGUAACAGAAACCUAAAGCCUAAGAAUAUAACACAAGAAGAAAACAAUAAAGAGAACCAAAA